rnacentral:lncRNA from 1 species
CAACGAGUCGACACCAGUUUUAGUUUCUUAAUAUUUAAAACACCACAUGGAAGAAAGGCCCACUUCAAAACAGUGCAAAAAAGAGUUCACAUACACACACACACACGCACGCAUAUGAAUGAACGAAUAAAUGAAUGAAUUAAUGAAGCAGCAGCAGAAAUGCAAAAAAUGUGUCAUGCGCAGAACCAAGUGCGGCAACAGAGUUCGGAAACACCCAAUUUUCCAACAGACUAAUAGUGAGACAAAUGUGUUGAAAUUGUAAAGCACCAAUCAUCAUCAUCUGCAUCAUCAUCAAUAUUAUUUUUCUGCAUGGAAAUAAUAAUUCAAGUGCGAGUGGUCAUGAAUCCACACUUCUUCUUCUUCUCAGCAAAGGAUGAUGCCCUGGCUGCUCCUCCUCCUCUUCCUCCUCC